rnacentral:rRNA from 1 species
CAGUAACACGUAGUCAACCUGCCCUCGGGUCGAGAAUAAUCUCGGGAAACUGAGGCUAAUGAGCGAUAGGUCAAGAUUCCUGGAAUGGGUUUUGGUCUAAACGGCGUGACAGCAUCUUGUCGUGUCCGCCCGAGGAUGGGACUGCGGCCGAUCAGGCUGUUGGUGGGGUAAAGGCCCACCAAACCAGUAACCGGUACGGGCUUUGAGAGAAGGAGCCCGGAGAUGGACACUGAGACAAGGGUCCAGGUCCUACGGGGCGCAGCAGGCGCGAAACCUUCGCAAUGCGCGCAAGCGCGACGAGGUUAUUCCGAGUGAUUUCCGCUGAGGAAAUCUUUUCUUAGAUCUAAAAAGUCUGGGGAAUAAGGGGAGGGCAAGUCUGGUGUCAGCCGCCGCGGUAAUACCAGCUCCUCGAGUGGUCAGGGCGUUUAUUGGGCCUAAAGCAUCCGUAGCCUGCUCGGUAGGUCUCCUGUUAAAUCCAACGGCUCAACCGUUGGUCUGCAGGAGAUACCGCUGGGCUAGGAGGCGGGAGAGGCGGACGGUACUCCGAGGGUAGGGGUAAAAUCCUUUGAUCCCCGGAAGA